rnacentral:rRNA from 1 species
GUGGGGAAUUUUUCGCAAUGGGGGCAACCCUGACGAAGCAACGCCGCGUGGGGGAUGAAGGUCUUCGGAUUGUAAACCCCUGUCGACUGGGACGAAUGUAGUCCGGCCUAAUAUGCCGGGCUAUUGACUGUACCGGUGGAGGAAGCCACGGCUAACUCUGUGCCAGCAGCCGCGGUAAUACAGAGGUGGCAAGCGUUGUUCGGAAUUACUGGGCGUAAAGGGCGCGUAGGUGGUUCGCUAAGUCCCAUGUGAAAGCCCUCGGCUCAACUGAGGAAUGGCAUGGGAAACUGGUGGGCUAGAGUUCGGGAGAGGGAAGCGGAAUUCCGGGUGUAGCGGUGAAAUGCGUAGAUAUCCGGAGGAACACCGGUGGCGAAGGCGGCUUCCUGGACCGACACUGACACUGAGGCGCGAAAGCUAGGGGAGCAAACGGGAUUAGAUACCCGAGUAGUCC